rnacentral:rRNA from 1 species
UAGGCGUGUGACUGCGUACCUUUUGUAUAAUGGGUCAGCGACUUAUAUUCUGUAGCAAGGUUAACCGAAUAGGGGAGCCGAAGGGAAACCGAGUCUUAACUGGGCGUUAAGUUGCAGGGUAUAGACCCGAAACCCGGUGAUCUAGCCAUGGGCAGGUUGAAGGUUGGGUAACACUAACUGGAGGACCGAACCGACUAAUGUUGAAAAAUUAGCGGAUGACUUGUGGCUGGGGGUGAAAGGCCAAUCAAACCGGGAGAUAGCUGGUUCUCCCCGAAAGCUAUUUAGGUAGCGCCUCGUGAAUUCAUCUCCGGGGGUAGAGCACUGUUUCGGCAAGGGGGUCAUCCCGACUUACCAACCCGAUGCAAACUGCGAAUACCGGAGAAUGUUAUCACGGGAGACACACGGCGGGUGCUAACGUCCGUCGUGAAGAGGGAAACAACCCAGACCGCCAGCUAAGGUCCCAAAGUCAUGGUUAAGUGGGAAACGAUGUGGGAAGGCCCAGACAGCCAGGAUGUUGGCUUAGAAGCAGCCAUCAUUUAAAGAAAGCGUAAUAGCUCACUGGUCGAGUCGGCCUGCGCGGAAGAUGUAACGGGGCUAAACCAUGCAC